rnacentral:rRNA from 1 species
AUUGAACGCUGGCGGCAUGCCUUACACAUGCAAGUCGAACGGCAGCACGGGAGCAAUCCUGGUGGCGAGUGGCGAACGGGUGAGUAAUAUAUCGGAACGUGCCCAGUCGUGGGGAUAACGUAGCGAAAGCUACGCUAAUACCGCAUACGAUCUAUGGAUGAAAGCGGGGGAUCGCAAGACCUCGCGCGAUUGGAGCGGCCGAUAUCAGAUUAGGUAGUUGGUGAGGUAAAGGCUCACCAAGCCGACGAUCUGUAGCUGGUCUGAGAGGACGACCAGCCACACUGGGACUGAGACACGGCCCAGACUCCUACGGGAGGCAGCAGUGGGGAAUUUUGGACAAUGGGCGCAAGCCUGAUCCAGCAAUGCCGCGUGCAGGAUGAAGGCCUUCGGGUUGUAAACUGCUUUUGUACGGAACGAAACGGUGAGCUCUAAUACAGUUUGCUAAUGACGGUACCGUAAGAAUAAGCACCGGCUAACUACGUG